rnacentral:lncRNA from 1 species
AGUUGGGUAAACAUAACCUCAACAUUGCAGCUGCAGUUUGCAGUACAGUGUAACGUUUGCAUGGCGGUAAUUUGCUUCCUAGCACAUUACCGCCGAUUACAUGUAUGUGACGUGCAGGAAAUUUAAUGUAAUACACCAUUGGGGCAUUCAUGUGAAUGCGGCUACAAUAAAAAUGCAACAAACAUUUUUUCACUCAACAUCAGCAGGUGCUGAACAUAUUACAUUUCUAUACAUGCCGGUUUUUGCUUAAGUGCUAAGCGCAAACAAUGCAUACACCAUAUCCAUAUAUAAUAAUAUUUGUAAUAGGAUAUAUCUCACAAAAUGCAAAAAGUGUUCAUUAGUUUUGUAACACCUGCAUUUAUCAUUAUCCCUAAUGAAAUGAAAGUCAUUGUGGAGAAACCGGGUUUAACCCAGUUUGUAUUAAUUUUAUUCAGGGUACAAAAACGGGAAUUAUUGGGUUUCACCAGCGAAGGACCCCUUGUAUACUGCAUCCGGGCGACUCUCUCAUGCAUCCCUUUGGACACGCUAGGUCAUAUAGCGGCAGACAGGCGAAGUCUCCUUUUCUGAGAUCGCACCGGCGCUCGCUAAUUCUGAGAAUUUAUUUCUAUCAUUUGUGACGCAGUGCUGAAGUGUCGGACUGCUGUGCUUCAGGAACCCAUGGGACACAGGUUCGAAUCCAGUCAACAUUGGAGAAAUUUUAAAAGAUCUUUCUUUAUUGAAGAGAAAGUGCUGUAAAGAGGCUAUGUAUGUAUAGAGACACAAUAUGGCUGAAGUUGGCUAAGAAUGCUAAUCACAUUAAAAUGUUAAAUAGUCAGCGAGAACACCUUAAUAUGGCACAGUCUGAAUGCUCGUCCAAACAUCCACAAGGUGCAUGCUUGUAAUUUAGCAUAGUUCACAUGCAAUGUAUUAGCAUGGCAAGCCACGAAUGGGCAAUUGCAAUUUUCAGGAGACCCUCUGCUGACCUGUCAUUUGUGAUUGUUUUGCAUAAGCUUGAUCGCAAACCUUUUUUUUAAUGUGUACGCUUAUAGCAAAUAUAAUAUAGUAUGAAGAAGAUAUUUUCUUUUCAUAUGGGACUCCGUUAUAAUAAGAUUUGACUGUGGUGUACGCUUCACUUUUCUCUUUGCAGCAGGAUAAAUUAUCAAUGAUGAAAUUUAGUUUUUUCAAGAAUCCCAUGCUCAAAAAGCUUUUGCAAUUGGGGGUGCAUUCAGUUUGUUUUUGAUGGAACAGCUAUGUACAGUCACUAUUUUGGUAUGUUUUACUUACACGAAUGCAAUGUCUGCGCUUAGGAAGAGCAUCUCUGCUGAAGGCAUAUCAAAGACUCGUAUGUUGAACACUCAUGUGUGUCUCUGAUAUGUCUUUGUUGCCAACAGGUCUUUCUGCCUUGCUGCUGAGUGAAUGUAAGCACAUCAAGAUGAGACAAAAUACUGCAAUGCUGUGCUGCAGCUAGGAUGAAUGCAUCAGCCAGCCAGCAGGUGUACAGUUGAACCUUGAUAUGAUGAUUCUUGGUUUUAGACAACUUGCAGUUACUUUAUUAUCCAAUCUUGAUACCAUUUACAUAUCUUUUCCUGCGAUUUAGCUAAAUUAUUUUGUCUGUUACUUCACUUUAAUGCAGUCCUCAUGCAUUGUCUGUAUGCUCUGGAGCGUUUAAUGACAAGCAUGAAAUAAAAACAGCGGGCUCAGAUAGACCUGCUUCUAUGAGCCUUUCCGCACACAAGCAAGACAAAGAGUUUGCAGGAAUAUGUGGAGACUAGAAGUGAUCAGUGCAGGUAAAUAAAUUCUCAGAUUUAAUGAAGUUAAUUUAAAAUGUUUCUUACCAAAUGUGCACCAAACAAAUAUUGGGUAUGUCAGUCAUUAUACAGAUUUAAAAUAGCAUUCUGCACUUUACGUACUUUAAAUGAAACCGCUUCGUGGAACACUUCAGUAAGUGUCCUUUUAAACUUUUAGUUUACUGUACAAGAACGCAAACGUAAAGAUGUUAGAGACAGGACGCCACGUGGUGUCUUGUGCCAAACAUGUCCAAGUCAAGACGGACCAUUAGCAAAGAUACUGUAAUUUCUAUGCUGAUGUGCCUCAUCAUACCUACGGACAGCAAAAUUGACAAACGAUUUCAGAAAUUGAAUGCACCAUGCACUCAUAACUAGUGUUUUAGGUGAGUUUAGAAGAAGCGAAAGCUCAUUUUAACAGUUACUGGCUAUCAACAAAAGAGCAUAGUGAUCAUAACAAUUCAUGCUAAAGUAGGUUGCACAAGUGCCGCCAUGUUUCACUGCUAUAUUUCUUAGUAUAUGUAAACAUUACGUGCAUUAAGCUCACCGAAGGUAUAUUAAGAUAGCGUGUGUAAACUACAGAAACCCAAUGACAUAGUAAGAAGCAAGGACAAUGCUAUUUGCUUGCGUACUUAAUGCAUUUACUUUUGCUUGCAAAUGCUAUUCAAAAACUUUAAAUUUUCAAACCAGGUUAGACUGUUAUGAUGAUAGGUUCAAUGGUAGUCGGUGAACAAGGGAGGCCUCAGCCUGGAGUCCGAAGGCCGAAGUACUUGAAUUCAUCAGGCACAAAGACAUGUCCCUUUGUCGAAACAAGGCUGAGGCUUCAUUGGUUUACGCACUGUUGAUCAUUUGCGCAUAUGAGUAUCAUCAGCAGGUGUGGGCGAGAGUUGAGGGAAACCCAUCUGUACGCCAUCUGUCGUCUCGCCAUAAAAUGUUCUAGGGGCACGUUCCUUUUGACCCUCACACUUCCUCCUUGAGUGGAUGUAGGACAGCAUAGAUUUUCCUACUAAAAUUACUAAAAGGGAGUUUGGCACUGCGAUUAUACAGCUUCUAUGGGAAUGGUGAUUAGUACACAUGGAUUUGUCUGAUCUUCGUGCACGUGGCUUCAGACAUUCUUGUGGCGUUAUUUACUACUCUUCAUCUGCCUUUAUUGACCUUAAUUUGGAACCAAUCUUAUUUUUCUCAGUGCGGAAUGCAAUAAGACUCUGUGUACAUGCAUGAUCAUUGCCAAUUAUUAUUGCAUUUAUAAUGCAAUAUGAUCAGUUCAUGAAGUCACAGAUAUGUUUGAAGUCAGAAAGACGAAGUUUCGGGAAAUCCGUGCACUUCUCGUCGAUCCCAUGCUGGCUGAACCACAAUGCUUGCAGUUCUCGUAGACACUAAUUCUACAGUUCCUCUAGAAACUUUUUAGGAAACUCUGAGGCACCAAGAAAAAGCCUGUCCUUUCUUUCAGUAGUGCUCCUUUCACCAAGAAUUGACCUGUUUUAUUGCAGCUGUCUGUUAUCGCAGUGCAUUUCACAGCCUCAUACAUUGGUGCUAGAACGUACAGGGUACUCACUUUCAUUGUAACCUAAGGAAGCACAAGAUGGAAGGCUAGCACUUGUUGCUAGUAAUAAUGGGACAGUGUAUAUGGCCCCAUGUUAUGAUGGAUUUGAACAGCUCAUAUAAGUUUUGUUCUCUCCUGGAAAUGCCCACAUGCUAUCUUUAAGCUUGUAAUGUACAAAGUGACAACCACUAUGAUCGGCUGCAAAGUUAUCACCCUAAUUUAUCUUGAGAUUUAGUUCGUAAUUUCUUAACAACCAGACUUUAGCUGCCAGAAGUGACCUAGGGGUGCCUGUUGAUUUGUAUUGCGAUAGGAACUAUAUGGACACUCCAGGCACAUUUCAGCCAUCACCGUCACCGAGAGGUUCCGUACGAGUGAAAGCGUGUGAGGGUGAGCCAGCCUACGCAGUGAAGUCUCGUGUGGGCGAGCGAGGAACGCGGCCCGGAUGCAUGCCCGCUCCUGUGGCGAGGGAGGAGGGGCGUUCUUCUCCGGCGGCUGCUACGCUGCCUCGAUGUCCUCCUCACCCACCACUCUGCAUAGAGUGGAGACAACCGCAGCGUCUAUGACGGUGUUGGUCAUGCAAAUCGCUGACGCCAUAGUAGAUGCCUUUGGUGAACAGCGUAGGGGCACAUUGCCGGCGCUCGUGUGUCAUGAAAGCAGUCUGCAACGUGGCUUAAGUAUGCACCCGCGCAGGCCUCGUCUUGAAAGUGAUCUGUGAUGUUUACAGAGUGCACAUACUAAUGUUAACUAAUAUUUUACUGGGUGCACACUAAUGCUCAUCACACCAGCGUUAGAUGCCUGGUCGCUGCCAGGGCACUGUUUUCUAUCAGGCAGGAGUUGCCCUGUGUGCUGCAUCAUGCCAAGAUGUUGCUCUCGCAUAUAGUGAUAACAUCAUCUGAGGAGUCCAAGCAUAAGGCUGUCAAAUGUCAAUGCUGCUUUCAAUCACCGUCAGUGCUUCGCUCUUGUAGCGAAACUGGCAGAUCUUGUUUACAGAGCCUACAGCCUGUAAACCUUGAAAUGUCAGUUUUGAGGGUCACAGCAUAGUCUGCAAACGUACAUCCUCACAGCUGUACAUUGCCUGGACACCCAUGCAUGCUGUUUGACUGAGAAAACACAGUAGGUGCUGUAGUUGAUACACUGGCUUCCCACACAAAGGGUUGAGCCUUGAAUCCCACGGAUGUCAUGAAAAUUGCUAUGUAGUUUUUAACAUAUCCUCUAACCUGUGCCUUUCUCCCAUUGGUCCAAAAUUCCAAUAAUUUUCUUUCUUAAAGAAUUAUUUCUCACAUAGUCGACAUCCUUUGCAUUGUUUGCAGCCAGGAUGAGACAGGGCACUGUCUUAUGCUUGGUGGAAUUAAAGAGCUUCAAGUCGAGGCCUGUUUCUGAAUACGGGGUUAGAAGGAAACUAAAGUUUGUUAAGGCUAUGUAUCUGUAAUAAUUGCCCACGUGACUGUGGCUAUGAGUAUGGUGUUAAAUGGUCCUUGUAUGUGCGGAAAGUAUGUACACAAAAUUAUCCGAUUGUCACUUUAAAAUGUGGCUGUUGUCAAGAGCUGCUGGCGGCAGUGUCCCAGUGCUCCUGUAUAUGAAGCUGCACUCUACGGACUGAUCCUUCCUUUUCUUCCUGUUUACUUACCUGACCUUUGAUUUGCACUGAUUUAGAACGUGCUGUGUUGUUUUAUCUCAGUGCCUUAAACACAUGUUAUCGGGUCUGUUGGGUUAUGCACAGUGGGAGCCAAAAAUACUAGUUGCAUGCAGUGAAUUGAGCCAGUUGAGGGUAGCAUUCUACAGAUAUCACUGUUUCUCAAGGAGAAAGAAUAGAUAUUCAUUUUUAUUUUGUUCUGUACCCUCAGUCAAUUACCAUUCUGCACAGUGAUGCUGUUUUAUAUGCAGCAUGCAAGGAUUUGCCAGCAUUCUUGCCUUGAGCCACGUGUGUACCUGGCAAAUGUAUUGAACUGACAUAUUUCAAGUUAUUGCUUUGUAAGUGGGUGGCAUAAAUUGUUGCCUGCAAUGUAUGUUAACUUCUGCUAAAAUGCUGUCACUGAUUCAUAGAAAACCAAGCUGUGAGAUGCUCCAAACAAUUGAAUGUGCUCAUACAUUGGUUAUCACUGGAAAUCGCAGUAAGAAGCAAUUAGGAGGAGAUACAUUAUGUUGUCCCACAUACACAUAACUUCACUAGCACUGUAGACAACUUGAGGCACGUCAGAUGCUGACUUCACCUAGUUACUAAAAUGGGCAACGUGCUUGUUGCUGUCCCGUUGGUGUUCUGUCACCAUGGUUACCACAGUGACCUAAUGACAGGACUUGCUUGCAUUCCAUUUUAUUAAGUGCCAUAAUCUGCCAUUAGAUGUCGCUUACGAAACCUCCUCCCCCACUUUUCUAUACAUGUUUUUCAGUGUGUGAUGUCUAGUUGCCUGUUAAUGCUAUCACUAAUCAGACUGUCCUCCUAAGAGCUUCCUUCUGCUGGAGAUGUGGGCAGAUGUUAACAGUUCCAUCACUUGUAUCAGUAUUUCGUCAAGGCCAGUAUGUGCUGUCUUGUUUGCAGUGUUGUAAGGACUCUUGCGUGGUGCAGAAUUUUAAUAUUUCUUUUCUGUCAUUCAUUUGUCAAAGUUAUAUAGAUGUUCUGCCGUACAGCUUUUAGAAAGAGACACAAUCAUUUCGUUGUACACGCUGUUUUUUUUUUUUUAUUAUUAUGGUGGAACCCUAUUAAUUUCUUGUGCAGCACAGUUGCAAGGCAUGUGUUGUCAUCUCAGCAGCAGAGUGUGACUGAUUGAAGGGGUCAUGACUGGUUCAUUUUCUAGCGAUCAUUUGUGGUUUUCGUAUUAUAUUUGGCAUUUUGUUUUUGGCUUUUUGCUGCUAACAGGAGCUUUCACUGGAUUUGUAUAGUGGGCACUUAUGGCAGAGCUGUUUUAAGCAUGCCAAAGGCUUUGAAAAUGAACAUGCUAAUGCAUUACGAGCAGUAAACAGCGCUAAACAACAGGACAAAGAGAGGGACACAGACAACAGCAAAUGUGUUUUUCGUGAGCAAGCCGGUAGUUGACGCUGAAGAAGCAGGUAUACAGACCUAGAACCCUGUGCACCUGCAAUGACCGUUAUACGUGCAGCUCAUCAUUUAGAGCAGUUACUUCCAGGUUGAUGUGCCCAUGCAAUGUCACACCAGUUGGUCCUUUAGCUUCAAGUGUAAAGCCAUAGUUUCUUGUGCAUUUACAUUUCUUUUCAAACUGUACUUUCAUUUUUUAUUUCAUUUGUUUUUGCUUAGAAUUCAAUGUUAGCUGUUCUUACUCUUUCAUUUUUUGGGAAAGCAUUCUGAAAUGGUACAAAGACAUCUUCAUUCUCUUUUGCUUGUGUACAACUCAUUUGUAAUUUUUUCCUAGGUAUGCUAGGGUGCCAUUGACAUUUGGUGCACAGUCAAGAAUACAUAGAGCAUUUCCUCAUUUUAGCACAAGAAGGAACAUAUGUUUAGCUCACGUAUUGAGAAGAAUAAGAAAGUAACAUGUAGGCUCAUCUCGCCUCUCUAAAGAGUCAACAGAACUAUUAGCUUUACAAGGCCUGUUGCACUUUUCUGCCUAGGUUGCCUCACUGUCGCCUUGCUCCAUCGAAUCACUAGCGUCAUUGGGCCACUUUGCUGUUAUCUUGACUGUACCCCCAUCCAGUGGAUGCAGGGCUUUUCUCAACAGCUGCACUGUUCUGUCUCCACGUAUUUCUCUGUUAUUAUUUUAUUAAAAAUAUUCAGUCUCCUUCCUCCAGCAUAAAUGAAUGAAUCAUGCCUUUGCCUGGCUUGCUGGGCUGUUAACUGGCCUCCUGUGUGAAAAGGCUACUCGAGUUGGAUUCUUCGUUGAAAUGUCGUGAGAUAGAGUUAUGUCUAGUAUUUUGUGGCUGCUGAUGGUUUAUCCAUUUCACUGCUGAUGUAUUAUGGUAGGAAGCUAACAAAUACCACUACUUAACAAUGUCUGUCUUAGUCAUCUUUGUGGUUUGUGGCAUUCCCAAUAUAUGACGCCCCCCCUCUGUUUUUGCUUUUGGUUUAAUGACUUCAUAGCAUUGUCCUCUUGUGAGUAACCAACUUGCUUUGGGUGCAAGAGAAGUGCUGAUAAUAGAAAGACUGACGAGUUUUGACUGUAGUUGAUAUGUAGCAUUUUUGGUGGGAUGCUUGCACAGUGGAUUGUACUUAGAAGCAGAGAGAAAACAAAGAAAUGCAGUGUUCUGAAGAGCCGGCCAUCACAAGAUGAAAGAGCUGCGCCGCGCAUGCUGCAGCUGUAAGAUACAAAGUAUUGUAUAUAUGCCUCUGCAUAUUGUUACAAGUGGUUUGAGUUAUACAGCUAUUCAAAAUCCUUAUUUCUUCUAAGUCUCUAUCAUAGGUGCAGUUCGGAAUUACAUAGGCAGUGGAAGGUAUCUUUUUUUCUUAGCAUGGCAUUGUGCAAUAAGUUGUUACAUUUUGGUCCAUUAUGGGCAGGGAUAACUGGUAGGGCCUGCAGGGAAAUUAUUUCUAUUGUUUUUGUUUGUUUGUCUGUACUUCCAUCAUUGAUAUUUUUUUUUUCGCAGCUUGCCUCAGUCACUUUUUUUGAUCAUUUGGUGGUGCUCAAUUUCAUUUAUUUUGCGUCAUUUCAUGUUGGGGAUCUCGCCUGAAGAACUUCAUUGUGCCUGUUAGGUGGGCUGAAUGUACAGCUCCUGGUUUUUUAUGCUUGUCAAUCUAGCGAAUUUCACAAUGGUUUCUUCUUUCAUUUUUUAUCAAUGGCAACCUUUGAUCUUUAGCGUCUUUGACCUUUCUCAUACACAAGUUUCUAUUGCUUAGUUGUAGUUGUGCAUGGUAUUGUUCACUUCACUAAUGUGACACCAAUGAAGUGUCCUUUACUUAUUCCAGAAGCGCGUGGUGGACGCCCUGGUACAUUCUUUUUCUUUUUAUUGUUUGUUCUUUGCCGGUGUCUGUCGCUUUUGUGGUGUGUGCUGUACAUCAUCGGUUAAAGAGGGUCUGUUUUAUGGUCAGUCAUAUAGAGAUGAAAAAAAGAAAAAAAUGAUAAGACAUCUCCGUUCAUGUUGACCUGCAUUGUUCAUGUUUUGUGCACUCGGGUGCAAAGAUGUAGUUUGUCACUGCGUUUGUACAGAGAGCUCUAUUUUUUCCAAGACGGAAUAAUAAAAGAGUCUAGGCACACGCAUAGCUUCA